rnacentral:rRNA from 1 species
GAUGAACGCUGGCGGCGUGCUUAACACAUGCAAGUCGAACGAAGCACUUUAUUUGAUUUCCUUCGGGACUGAUUAUUUUGUGACUGAGUGGCGGACGGGUGAGUAACGCGUGGGUAACCUGCCUUGUACAGGGGGAUAACAGUUGGAAACGGCUGCUAAUACCGCAUAAGCGCACAGCAUCGCAUGAUGCAGUGUGAAAAACUCCGGUGGUAUAAGAUGGACCCGCGUUGGAUUAGCUAGUUGGUGAGGUAACGGCCAACCAAGGCGACGAUCCAUAGCCGAGCUGAGAGCGUGACCGGCCACAUUGGAACUGAGACACGGCCCAAACUCCGACGGAGGGGAGCAGUGGGGAAUAUUGCACAAUGGGCGAAAGCCUGAUGCAGCGACGCGGCGUGAGCGAAGAAGUAUUUCGGUAUGUAAAGCUCUAUCAGCAGGGAAGAUAAUGACGGUACCUGACGAAGAAGCACCGGCUAAAUACGUG